GUGGCCGUAGCUCAGUUGGUUAGAGCGCCAGACUGUGGCUCUGGAGGUCGUGGGUUCAAUUCCCAUCGGCCACCCCA
rnacentral:tRNA from 1 species